rnacentral:rRNA from 1 species
UACGGGGGGGGCUAGCGUUAUUCGGAAUUAUUGGGCGUAGAGCGCACGCAGGCGGCUUGACAAGUCGAGGGUGAAAGCCCUCGGCUCAACCGAGGAAUUGCCUUUGAAACUGUCUAGCUUGAGGCCGGGAGGGGGUAGCGGAAUUCCCAGUGUAGCGGUGAAAUGCGUAGAUAUGUGGAGGAACACCGAUGGCGAAGGCAGCCCCCUGGGCCGAUACUGACGCUCAUGCACGAAAGCGUGGGGAGCAAACAGG